rnacentral:rRNA from 1 species
CAGUCGCCGCGGGAAUACGUAGGGUGCAAGCGUUAAUCGGAAUUACUGGGCGUAAAGCGUGCGCAGGCGGUUAUAUAAGACAGAUGUGAAAUCCCCGGGCUCAACCUGGGAACUGCAUUUGUGACUGUAUAGCUAGAGUACGGCAGAGGGGGAUGGAAUUCCGCGUGUAGCAGUGAAAUGCGUAGAUAUGCGGAGGAACACCGAUGGCGAAGGCAAUCCCCUGGGCCUGUACUGACGCUCAUUCACGAAAGCGUGGGGAGCAAACAGGAUUAGAUACCCCAGUAGUCCCUGUCUCUUAUAC